ensembl:lncRNA
UUCCAUUCCAUUUGUGUUUAUUUUCUCUCUAUCACAUUUACAUCACCUGCCUUAUUUUCAACAUCAUAUUCAUCAUGACAUCAAGUCAUCCAUCCACUUGAUGUCACAGACAGACAUAAGCAAUAAAACAAAUCUCUCUUCUACACAUAAUGAGAGAACAUCAAUCAAUCAAUUAACACGACCAAGAUAAUAAAGAAACACAAAAAAGGUCAGUUUCACUCCAGCAACAAUAAGGCUCGGUAAAGACAUGGCACAGCAGGAGAAAAACAUUUAGACAGUUAAAAAAUAAAGACAAACAGAUCAAAGACAGGUAAAACAGUGACAGAGACAAACAGAUCAAAGACAGGUAAAACAGUGACAGAAAGACAAACAGAUCAAAGACAGGUAAAACAGUGACAGAGACAAACAGAUCAAAGACAGGUAAAACAGUGACAAAGACAAACAGAUCAAAGACAGGUAAAACAGCUAAAACAGUGACAAAGACAAACAGAUCAAAGACAGGUAAAACAGUGACAGAGACAAACAGAUCAAAGACAGGUAAAACAGUGACAAAGACAAACAGAUCAAAGACAGGUAAAACAGGUAAAACAGUGACAAAGACAAACAGAUCAAAGACAGGUAAAAAACAGAAAGACAAACA